rnacentral:rRNA from 1 species
GAGAGUUAAACAGUACGUGAAAUUGUUGAAAGGGAAACGAUUGAAGUCAGUCAUACCAACGGGAAAUCAACCUUUUGAGUUUGGUCUCGUGGGUUUUGAAGAGUUUAAAAGCCUUCGGAUUUUCGAGAUUGGGUUCUUCUGGUGUACUUUCUCGUACGGUUAGUCAACAUCGGUUUUGAAUGUCAUAAAAUGACUGGAGGAAUGUGGCUUCGAUCUCGUAUUGAAGUGUUAUAGCCUUUGGUAGAUGUGAUGUUCAAGACCGAGGAUUGCAACGGAUACCCUUCUGGGCUAUUCGUCUGAUCUCUGAAACGUUGUCUUGAUGUCGAAAGCUUGCUUAUGAUGUUAGGGUAUUACGAUCAAAAGGUUAGAACGGAUUAAAUUCGUUAAGGAUGUUGACGUAAUGACUUUAAACGA